rnacentral:misc_RNA from 1 species
AUAAUAUUUAAAGCAACACAUGUAAAGGAACCCACAAAGAACCACACCAAAAAGAGAGCAGAAGGACCACAACAAUGAAGUAGGAAAAAACUUACCUUUACUGCUAUCUCCCACAGGACCACAAACUGAAAACUACACUAGGCCGAACGAUCCCACCAAAAAGAUCAACUGAAGGAUCAAACCAAUGAAGUGAACCGAACCUAAAGAACCAACAGAUUUGCGACAGUGAGAGGAAGGGAGAAUCGUGAAAGUGAGAGGGAGAGAGAAUCGUGAAAGUGAAAGGGAGAGAGAAAUUUAUUAUUAGGGAUUUCAAUUUUCUAAUAUCUAAUUCUAUUUUUCUCUUUUCUGCAAUUAAUUUUCACUUUAAGAAGUAGGGCAUUUUAGCCUUUCCACCUUUUAAUAACGUUUGAUUUCGACG